rnacentral:rRNA from 1 species
GAUGAACGCUGGCGGCGUGCCUAAUACAUGCAAGUCGAGCGAACAGACGAGGCGCUUGCUCCUCUGACGUUAGCGGAGGACGGGUGAGUAACACGUGGAUAACCCACCUAUAAGACUGGGAUAACUUCGGGAAACCGGAGCUAAUACCGGAUAAUAUAUUGAACCGCAUGGUUCAAUAGUGAAAGACGGUUUUGCUGUCUCUUAUAGAUGGAUCCGCGCCGCAUUAGCUAGUUGGUAAGGUAACGGCUUACCAGGGCAACCAUGCGUAGCCGACCUGAGAGGGUGAUCGGCCGCACUGGAGCUGAGACACGGUCCAUGCUCCUACGGGAGGCAGCAGUAGGGAAUCUUCCGCAGUGGGCGAAAGCCUUACGGAGCAACGCCGCGUGAGUGAUGAAGGUCUUCGGAUCGUAAAACUCUGUUAUUAGGUAAGAACAAAUGUGUAAGUAACUAUGCACGUCUUGACGGUACCUAAUCAGAAAGCCACGGCUAACUACGUG